rnacentral:rRNA from 1 species
CAAUAGCGUAUAUUUAAGUUGUUGCAGUUAAAAAGCUCGUAGUCGGAUUUUGGCUGAGAACGAUCGGUCCGCCGUUAGGUGUGCACUGAUUGGUCUCAGCUUCCUGGUGAGGAGGUGGGCUUCACGGCCACUUAGUCACCGUGGUUACUUUGAAAAAAUUAGAGUGUUCAAAGCGGGCUUACGCUUGAAUAUAUUAGCAUGGAAUAACACCAUAGGACUCCUGUCCUAUUUCGUUGGUCUCGGGACGGGAGUAAUGAUUAAGAGGAACAGUUGGGGGCAUUCGUAUUUCAUUGUCAGAGGUGAAAUUCUUGGAUUUAUGAAAGACGAACUUCUGCGAAAGCAUUUGCCAAGGAUGUUUUCAUUGA